rnacentral:lncRNA from 7 species
CGCGGACGCGGCCCCGGCCUCAGCCCCGGUGGCGGCGCGCUGCCCCACCGGCCCCGGCGCGAGUGGGCGCGACACGACCCCCACCCGAUGGCGCGGGCGAGGCACGCGGCCCUCCCGGCGGGGCAGACGCGGCCCCUGGCCACAGCGGCGACGGGCACGACCCUUGGCCCCGGCGUCGGCGGGCGCGACCCCUAGGCCACAGCGGCGGGCGCGACCGUCCCGACCCCUGCGUGGGUGCCACGGCCCCGUUCGCAUGCGUCGUACGACGGCGCGCGGGCACAGGCACGGCGGCCGACCCCCGGUCUGCGCUACGGCCGCGGCCUCAGCAUGCGACGACGAAGCCCCAUUCGCACUUGGGCAACAUCGAUCUUUAGAAAUUAUAAAGGAAAUGUGUCUAUCGUACGUAGGAUUUUUUUGGUGAUCGAAGCCCCUCUUUUCCUUCUUGCCAGCGACAUAUUCUUCUUCUUUCUACAACAGCAACUUCUCUCUGUUCUCGCGAGUACUGCUGAUAACAAGCUCAUCGAUUUUCAAUUGUUGCUUGGUUUUAGGAAUACUGCUAAGUGAUACUGGACUUCCUUGGUGGUUUGCGUUCAUCCAUUCAAGAUGGAGGCUCCAACACAUCUCUUCAUUAUCUGUGUCUGUAUUUAUCUGUGUAAUGGCAGUAUGGUGCUCCUAACUUCCAAGCUUCAUUAA